AAGCACCUAUCGAUGGGUAGCAAAACUCGACCAAACACCUGGAUCAUUCCCGACCGACCCAUCACUAGGGUGCCUGCGGGCUGACGGACUGAACGUGGCGGGGUACCUGACGUCCAUCUUUGGCACAGAGAAAGACAAAUGCUUGCAGUGAUGUUGAAAUGCAGUUAGCUUUAUGACAAGUUCUUCGAGGUAAGCUGUGUACACUGGCUUUCGUUCAUGAUAAGAUAAAACACCUUUAAUAGUGAGUUGCGUAAACAUCUGAAAGAUCUGUGAAUUCUGUCUAAUUUCUGAUUCGUUUGUUUGUAUGAACAGACACUUCUAGCCAGAUGCAUCCAGUCACAAUCUGUGGACAGUGUAGUAGUGGGUAAUUGGGGUAAUGGGUAAUUGCUUCUAUAAAGUUGGUUUAGGUACCUGCCUUUUUUUAAAUACCACACAGCAUUGUUUUGUUAGGAAGUCUUCUAGGAAAUGGAAGAGAAGUAUGGAGAGGUGGAGAGGUGUGUGAUAAUCUAGGCGAUCACCUAGUUGGCAACGUUUACGUAAAAUUCAGUCGUGAGGAAGAUGCAGAGAAGGCUGUUAUGGACCUGAACAACCGGUGGUUUAACAAACACCCCAUCCAUGCAGAGUUGUCCCCUGUGACCACCUUCAGAGAAGCCUGCUGCAGGCAAUAUGAAAUGGGGCAUCGCUCUAGUUUAUGGUCUCAUGAACGGCACUCUAGAUCACGUGAACGUGGCCGCCGGAAUCGUGAGAGGAGAUCGAGAGACUGUGAACGAUUGGGGAGCUUUUGAGCCAACAUGUGAACUUCUGCUUUCUUCCCAUCAGUGUCAUCACACCAGAAACGACCAACAUUUGUGCAAAACAUUGAACUUUGAGCUGUAGCUUACUUUGGCCAAUUUCUUUUUUCUUUUUUUUGCAAGGAAGCUGGGUUUCUCAAUAAAAGUACAUUGUCACUUUGA